rnacentral:rRNA from 1 species
CAAUAGCGUAUAUUAAAGUUGUUGCAGUUAAAAAGCUCGUAGUUGGAUUUCUGGUGGGAGCGAUCGGUCUGGCGCUUAGCGCGAGUACUUGCAUCGUCUCCGGCCAUCCUUGGGGAGAGUCUGUCUGGCAUUAGGUUGUCGGGCAGAGGAUCCUCAUCGUUUACUGUGAAAAAAUUAGAGUGUUCAAAGCAGGCUUAUGCCGCUGAAUAUAUUAGCAUGGAAUAAUAAGAUAGGACUUUGGUACUAUUUUGUUGGUUUGCGCACCAAAGUAAUGAUUAAUAGGGACAGUUGGGGGUAUUCGUAUUCCGUUGUCAGAGGUGAAAUUCUUGGAUUUACGGAAGACGAACUACUGCGAAAGCAUUUACCAAGGAUGUUUUCAUUAA